AAUGUCGUAACAAGGUUUCCGUAGGUGAACCUGCGGAAGGAUCAUUAGUGAUUGCCCGUAGUGGCUUAAAAUCUAUAUCCAUUUACACCUGUGAACCGUUUGAUUGGCACUCUGUGUUGGAUUUUGACAAAUCAAUAUGUAAACGAAAUGUCAAGUCAUUAUACAAAAAAUUAA
rnacentral:misc_RNA from 1 species